AAAAUUCCUCUCUGGUUCUAUGCGAAAAAAUUGGAACAAUAUAUAGAAGAUUACCAUGGUUUUGUGCAAGGAUAACAUGCACAAAUCAAGAAAUGUCUAAAUUUUGG
rnacentral:snRNA from 1 species